UUUCACUUCCUGUCGGCCAAAAAAUACGACGUCCAGAUAAAUACAAAUAAAUCGAAUAAAAAAGAAAUAUGAAAACCCCGAUUCCUUUUAUGUUUCUAAUUAAUAAUUUGGCUAGAUACAUAUAUAUUAUUUUGUUUCCUUUAGUGUUUUGAAAGCGAAUUUGUCAGACAACGGAACUGAAAGUAGGAGGAGCUGUGUGCGACGUCAAACACAGCAGCCAUAACGCACAUGAGCUGCUGUAGUGUUAACAUAAUGUCUUUCCCAUUGUUGGCUGCUAGUGAUUUAAGUAAUCCAUGCAAUGUACUUUUACACAGUUUUUUAGGCUGGCACGUGGGCUGUAAAUUAUGAGUGAUUAUAAUAAAAACGACAUCACCACAGCACAGCGUGGCUACAAACGCUACCUGGCUGACCAAAUGGCUGUUCCAGGAAGAACACUUAGACGAUGGAAAAGGAUAAGGCAAGUAGCUUCACUAGUGUUUAAUUUAUUAAAGCUGUUCAGUCAUAAUACGAUAGUAUAUAUUCUAAACCUUUAUUUUUAUUUUAUAGGAACAAGGAACAAUCAAGUCAAGCAGAAACAACGGUUCUUUAACACAUGACGAGAUUCGUACUGUAAGCAACACUGAAGAUGAUGACAGUCUAGAAACUGAUGAAGACGUUGAUGUACCAGAAUCCAGUAAUCGAACGGGAACGGGAACCUGAAAUAACCCCAAGUGAACAGGAGAAUGCAGAUCUUGAGUCAAUUACAUGGAACAGGACAUUGAGAAUCCUGGCAGUGAACCUUUUCAUUCUCUUGAUGAAUCUACACAAGAAAAGUACCUGCAAGAGGAUGACAAAGUGUAUUCGUCUCAACAACAGAAUGGCCUGCUGCUCAUGGCUUUGAAAAUGAAGCACAAGCUUACCAAGGAAGCAGUCUCUGACAUGCUGGACAUUAUUAAUCUAUUGGCUGGUAAAGACACUGUACCACAAUCUUGGUACCACUUAGAAAAACCAUUUGAAGGUUUAAAAUAUUUUGUAGAAAUACAUCAUGUUUGCAAUUUCUGUGAAUCUUACUUAGGUAAAGAAACGCACUUACUGUGAGAAAGAAUGGAUAGAGCAAAGGAGUCUGAAAGAAGGAAACUUUUUCUUUCAUUUGCCUUUACAUGCACAGAUCAAAGCAUUUUUAGAGGACCCUGAAUUGUCACAAAAGGUAGUAAGAAAUAGACAUGGCUUCCAGUCACAGACAUUCUGUGACAUAACAUUGUUUAUGCCAGCUGGUACACAGAUAGUGACCAGGCAUCCUGCAUUCCUUUUGCUAUGAAAAUGUUCUUUCAGAUCUUACACUGUAUAGAUAGGAACUCCCGUUCUCUCACCACGGCUAACUUGGUUCGAGGAACUACCGUUCCUUUCGAUUUAUGAAAAACGCCACAGGUACAAUUGUAAUAAUGUUGUAUAUAAAAGGCAGUUGUUAAAAUUCUUGUUAAAUUUUAGCCUCUGCUUAUACAUGUUUCAAACUACCAUGUGUUUUUUCUGUGCAAUGUAUUUGACCUACAAAUGUACAAUAAACAGUAAGAAAGUCAAA